rnacentral:rRNA from 1 species
AGCGAACGCUGGCGGCAGGCCUAACACAUGCAAGUCGAACGAACCUUUCGGGGUUAGUGGCGGACGGGUGAGUAACACGUGGGAACGUGCCUUUAGGUUCGGAAUAACUCAGGGAAACUUGUGCUAAUACCGAAUGUGCCCUUCGGGGGAAAGAUUUAUCGCCUUUAGAGCGGCCCGCGUCUGAUUAGCUAGUUGGGUGAGGUAAUGGCUCACCAAGGCGACGAUCAGUAGCUGGUCUGAGAGGAUGGUCAGCCACAUUGGGACUGAGACACGGCCCAAACUCCUACGGGAAGCAGCAGUGGGGAAUCUUGCGCAAUGGGCGAAAGCCUGACGCAGCCAUGCCGCGUGAAUGAUGAAGGUCUUAGGAUUGUAAAAUUCUUUCACCGGGGACGAUAAUGACGGUACCCGGAGAAGAAGCCCCGGCUAACUUCGUG